UCCUACGGGGGGCAGCAGUAGGGAAUCUUCCACAAUGGGCGAAAGCCUGAUGGAGCAACGCCGCGUGGGUGAAGAAGGUCUUCGGAUCGUAAAACCCUGUUGUUGGAGAAGAAAGUGCGUGAGAGUAACUGUUCACGUUUCGACGGUAUCUAACCAGAAAGCCACGGCUAACUACGUGCCAGCAGCCGCGGUAAUACGUAGGUGGCAAGCGUUAUCCGGAUUUAUUGGGCGUAAAGGGAACGCAGGCGGUCUUUUAAGUCUGAUGUGAAAGCCUUCGGCUUAACCGGGGUAGUGCAUUGGAAACU
rnacentral:rRNA from 1 species